rnacentral:rRNA from 1 species
GACAGAGGGGGCAAGCGUUGCUCGGAAUCACUGGGCGUAAAGGGCGCGUAGGCGGGAUGGCAAGUCAGUCGUGAAAUCUCUCGGCUCAACCGAGAAACGUCGGCUGAUACUGCCGUUCUUGAGGGAUGCAGAGGAGACUGGAAUUCCCGGUGUAGCGGUGAAAUGUGUAGAGAUCGGGAGGAACACCGGUGGCGAAGGCGGGGUCUCUGGGCAUCUCCUGACGCUGAGGCGCGAAAGCGUGGGGAGCAAACGGG